GGCUCAGAUUGAACGCUGGCGGCAUGCCUUACACAUGCAAGUCGAACGGCAGCACGGGGGCAACCCUGGUGGCGAGUGGCGAACGGGUGAGUAAUACAUCGGAACGUGCCCGGAAGUGGGGGAUAACGUAGCGAAAGUUACGCUAAUACCGCAUAUUCUGUGAGCAGGAAAGCAGGGGAUCGCAAGACCUUGCGCUUUCGGAGCGGCCGAUGUCGGAUUAGCUAGUUGGUGAGGUAAAAGCUCACCAAGGCGACGAUCCGUAGCUGGUCUUAGAGGAUGAUCAGCCACACUGGGACUGAGACACGGCCCAGACUCCUACGGGAGGCAGCAGUGGGGAAUUUUGGACAAUGGGCGAAAGCCUGAUCCAGCCAUGCCGCGUGAGUGAAGAAGGCCUUCGGGUUGUAAAGCUCUUUCGGACAGAAAGAAAUCGCAUCGGCUAAUACUCGAUGUGGAUGACGGUACUGUCAUAAGAAGCACCGGCUAACUACGUGCCAGCAGCCGCGGUAAUACGUAGGGUGCGAGCGUUAAUCGGAAUUACUGGGCGUAAAGCGUGCGCAGGCGGUUUUGAAAGACAGGCGUGAAAUCCCCGGGCUCAACCUGGGAACUGCGCUUGUGACUUCAAGACUAGAGUACGGCAGAGGGGGGUAGAAUUCCACGUGUAGCAGUGAAAUGCGUAGAGAUGUGGAGGAAUACCGAUGGCGAAGGCAGCCCCCUGGGCCAGUACUGACGCUCAUGCACGAAAGCGUGGGGAGCAAGCAGGAUUAGAUACCCUGGUAGUCCACGCCCUAAACGAUGUCAACUAGGUGUUGGGUGGGUAAAACCAUUUAGUACCGAAGCUAACGCAUGAAGUUGACCGCCUGGGGAGUACGGCCGCA
rnacentral:rRNA from 1 species